rnacentral:rRNA from 1 species
CCAGACUCCUACGGGAGGCAGCAGUGGGGGCUCUUGGACAAUGGUUUGCCCCCUGAUCCCGCGCCGCCGCGUGCGUGCAGAAGUAUUUCGGUCUGUAAAGCUCUGUCAGCAGGGAAGCAAGCAAUGACGGUACCUGACCAAGAAGCCCCGGCUAACUACGUGCCAGCAGCCGCGGUAAUACGUAGGGGGCAAGCGUUAUCCGGAAUUACGGGGGGUAAAGGGAGCGUAGACGGCUGUGCAAGUCUGGAGUGAAAGGCGGGGGCCCAACCCCCGGACUGCUCUGGAAACUGUAUGGCUGGAGGGCAGGAGAGGUAAGCGGAAUUCCUAGGGGAGCGGUGAAAGGCGGAGAUAUUAGGAGGAACACCAGUGGCGAAGGCGGCUUACGGGACGGUAACUGACGUUGAGGCUCGAAAGCGUGGGGAGCAAACAGGAUUAGAUACCCCUGUA